GACUAAUCAUUGAAAAUGUCAGAAAGGAGGAUUUUGGAAACCACACCUGCUCAGUGAGCAAACAGCAUGAAUACUCUGACUUCAUCAUUCAACUUUCCCGCAUUGCAAGAAUUCUUAUGCCCAGUGAAGAUAAUAAAAAUGGGGUAAAUCCAGCACACACAGUCAUCACUCUGAUCCUCUUCAGCUGCCUGCUGAGCGCUCUGACAGCGCACCUCUGUAGAUGAAGAAGCAGAAGGGCCUUCUGGACGUGAGAAACUGAAUGCGACGCAACUUCAAAUCUCGCUGUUUUGCUCCUGAAAAAUAAAUUCAAAAUGCCUCUGCAAUCUCCACUGUGCUACGCACCUGGGCAACACGGAAAGGUUGUGUUUUUGUUCUUUUUUAAGAAUAAAAAGUGAGUUGUGGAUUUUCAUAGGGGUAGUGGUGAUCUGCCACCACUUGUCAUUAAUGGCCAGUCUGUGGAGAGAGUGGACACCUUCAAGUGUCUUGGCCUGACCAUCUGCCCCUCACUGAAGUGGGAAGUUACUAUCAGCAGGAAGAUAUCAUUGUCAUGAAGAAAGGCCUUCAAAGGCUGGACUCCCUAUAACCACAGUUAAUCAGGAACCAAUGACUCAGUUCUGUAGAAUACUGUAUGUGUUUUGUUCAUUUUGUUGUUUUUAUCUGUGCUGCACUGAUGGCACAUUCCAAAUACUGUAACUUUGGAAUUAGAGAAAUUAAUCAAAAUAAAAGGCUCUAUAAAUUGUCAA